UCUAACUCCAAGAACUACUCUCUCUAUAAACUAAUAUAAGAGAGUUUGAAUAGGGAGUACUAUAUAUAACCACCCAAAUGAUCUCUCCUUCUUCAUUCAAGAUCACAAGCCUGACAACAUCUCCACCUCUCUCCCAGCACCAGAGUCAUCUUUGCUAGUUCAUUGCAGCAACAUCCGUCGACGAAGCAAAUGGCAGUUACUCUGAAGCUAAGGAUCCUUGCUGUGGCGACAGCCGCCGCCGUCAUGGUCGGCACGGUCUCUGCUGCCGAUGGACCAGCUCCCGCGCCUGCCUCUGGCGCGUCGGCUGCCGCCCCGGCUGUCGCCAUGGCAUCCCUGACCGCGCUUGUUUUCGGCUACUUCUUCUGAGGCCAUGUACUCGUGCGCGCAAUUAUUUGGGAUUUUUCUUUGGUUCCUCUCGUGUUCAUACAUGAUAUAGCCCCUUGCCACCCCGCCGCCUUCGCGCUCGGCCUCGCCACCGGCUGCCGCGCCGCCGGACCUCCACGCCUCGCACCCCUCUCCCUGCUCUCCCUCUUCUCCGUUUCCUUCCCCUCUGUUUCUCUCUCUCACACAAGGACUGCCUCUCACUUCUUCUACAGGAGCAGCCAUGGCCAACGACUAACGCCGCCUCGCCCGGAUCAGGCCGGAAUCGACCUCCUGCAGCCGGAUCCGCGCCAUCCCGACCUCGCCGGCCUUCCUUCCCGUCUUCAUCGCGAUCCAUCACCGGGCUCGAAGACAAUCCCAUUAUGUAGCAGCAACCGCUGCCGCCGCCAGCAGCAGCAGCAGCAACAAGCGCGGCCGAGAUCGGCGGAGACGGGGGAGCAUGCACGCUUUCCCCGACUCACCCCAUCUGCGCGCACGUUCGCCAUCGCAGGCGCCGGCGGCUACCGCGCCUCGGAGGUGCCGGACACAUGGCAGCCCAUGCUGAAGGCGGACGUCUACUCCCUGGGAGUGCUCCUACUGGAGCUCCUUACCUGCAAGUCCCCGACACACGCAUUCAUGCAGGACGAUGUCGGCGGCGCGCUCGACCUGCCGUACGUCGUUGGUAUAGUCGGUGGUGCGCGAGGAGUGGAUGGCUGAGGUGUUUGACGUGGAGCUCGUGCGGCUGGGCGCCAUCACCGAUGAGGAGAUGGCUGUGCUGCUGCAGGCACCCGUAGAGCUAUGGGCAUAGAGGCAGCAACUCGAAACUCCAUGGUUUGCACACAGCAGCACAACGCCACGGUCUGCAUGCGGCAUGACCAACUCCACUCAGAUUAAAAUUAUGUAGUUGUAUACGAUCCUCCCUUUUGUUCAGGUUUCCAUGAUUUUUUCAGUUGAAUUCAGUUGCAGAUUCAUUCAACUCAUCUCCAUUGCCACACACAGAAAGGCUCUGAUUUUUAUUUUUCUCUGCAAAUUGUAACCAUUUUUCAUAUCACACUAAGCAGGCACCACUUGUCAAUUUUAAUAGAGUCUGUACAUUGGGUCGUUGAGUAUGACAGCUGAGCGGCCUCUGCUGAUAUGAAAAUUCUUUCAGAAUCUGGUAAGAAAUUUUCAUAGGACGUA